AACGCACGAGACCUGCGGACCUGCGGAAGGAUCAUUACAUGGCGGAGGAGGUGGGCACCUAGUAAAAACAAAACCCUAGGUGUGUUGCCUACCACGCUUUCUACCCUUGUCUAUUUGCACCUUUUGUCGUUCCCUCGGUGGGUCUUGAACCUGCCGGCGGCAACUUUCAAAAACCUUUUGUAGUUAGUAUCUAAUUCUUCUGAUCAAAUAUUCAAUCGUUACAACUUUCAGCAACGGAUC
rnacentral:misc_RNA from 1 species